rnacentral:rRNA from 1 species
AUGGGGGAAAUUGGCAGCCGGGCAUCUCAGAAUUCUGUCCUUGAUAGGUUGGUGUCACGGCUGCAAUGUAGGAUUUGUGUCACGGCUGCAAGGUGGAGAAUCAGCUUGUGCCGAACGGUGGCCUCUAUGCCCGGGUCGACUUCCUCCUCAGCUGUAGUGGGCGGUGGCCAAUGGGAUUGGUGGGGAGUGGACGUCACGAUGAGUUGUAGGGAGGAGAAGAUGUUCUUGAGAAUUGUGGCUGCAAGGGCGCCCGUGAUGGACUGGUACGGGGACGUGAGCUUUUUUCUUAGAAUGGCCUUGGAGAUCUUUUUUUUUCUUAGCAUGUCAUGUGGCCUUUUAAAGUUCAAAGUUCGUCGGUGUAUUGCCGUAUAUCUCUGCAUCUCUAGCUGGUUGUUAUGUGUAUCUGUGUUCCCCCAAAAACCCUCCCGCCCGCGCGCUCCCGCCCCACACCCCGCCAUGAAGGACGCUAUCGACCUCGACGCCGCCGCCGGCCUUGCCUCCCUCGCCUCGUCCGGCGCCCCCGCCCCCGCCGGGAAAGGCAAGUCUCGUGCCCCGCGCAAGAUCGCUGCCGCAGCCAAGCCAAAGAAGCCGCUGACGCCCGCACAACGGGCAAGGAAGUCGGCCAAGAGGAAGGACCGGAGGCACGCCACGGACGCGAGGGAUGAGGCCGCCGCGCAGGCCACCGUUGCCGCCGCCGCGCAGCAAGAGGUCACCAACGUCCGCGUCGCGGCGGGAACGAGGGAGGCGCUCUACAUGCUAGGGUUAAACUCUGGCCAGCACGACCUCCUCAACGCCGCCGACGCCGCGGCCAGCACCGGCUCAUCGGUGUUUCCUUGGAUGAUGCUGCCCGACUCGCCCCGCACAUCGGCUUGUAGCCCGGUGCCCGGCUUCCAUGUGUACCCGCAGGCCUCCCUCCUCUCCGGGGAGAGCUCGCCCGACGUGAGUGUGGUCGCGCCUGCCACGCUCGCGCCCGCACCCAUCGACCUCAACGCUAUCCCGGUGGCCGGUGGCUCGUCAUCAGGUGGCGCGAGGAAACGCGCGCGGCAGACGUCGGCCGACGUGCUCCCGGAGGCCCGCAACCUGUUCGAGGGAAUGCCGUCCACCAUCGACGGGGACUACAUGCAGAACCUCAUCUUCGAGGGUGGAAGAGGACGAGUGCGACAUGAAGUGGAGCCCUUGUUCGAGGACGAGGUCACCAACCAAGCGGCCGGUCCUAAGCUGAAGCGCAAGAGCAAGCGCACAAAGGCAUACACGGCGGCCGAGGACAAGCUUUUUUGCGAGUGUUGGGUGAUCCAACAAGAGUGCAACAAGUUUUGCGCCACUCUUGAGAGCAUCAAGGCCUGCCCCGUGAGCGGCAUCGGCGUGCAAGACAUGGCAUUUCAAGAUUUGGAGGCAUUCAAGGUUCAACACAACGGCAAGUGCUUCAACCUCUCCCAUUGCUUUCGGGUCAUCAAGGACGAGGUGAAGCUCAAGGCGCAAUAUGCCGCCCUCAAGUCGCGUGGGGGGAAGAAAGCCGUGGAGGAGGUUGGGGAGGGCGAGCCGUCACGGCCGCGGGGGAACACCAACUCCAAGAAGGAGGACAAGCGGGAUGUGGAAUCCAACACCUUGAUCGCAAGCGUGGAUGGCAUGAUGAACAAGAAGGACACAAGGGAGGAGGAGCGCCGACAUUUCAAGGCGGAGAAAAUGGACGUUUUCAUGGAGAUUUAA